CUUCAGAGUCUGGGUUGGUCGCAAAGAUCCCAGAUGAGGCCCCAAAAUGAAAGAUCCCCGAAGAGAGACCCUUUCUAAAGUCACAGGAAAUCGCGGACCCAGACACAGAUAGACCA
rnacentral:pre_miRNA from 14 species